CCUACGGGUGGCAGCAGUGAGGAAUAUUGGUCAAUGGGCGAGAGCCUGAACCAGCCAAGUCGCGUGAAGGAUGACGGCCCUACGGGUUGUAAACUUCUUUUGUCAGGGAGCAAUUGAGUCCACGUGUGGUCUUAGCGAGAGUACCUGAAGAAAAAGCAUCGGCUAACUCCGUGCCAGCAGCCGCGGUAAUACGGUGGAUGCGAGCGUUAUCCGGAUUUAUUGGGUUUAAUGGGUGCGAAGGGGGAAUAUCAAGUCAGCGGGAAAAAUUCGGGGCUCAAUCCCGUCGUGCCGUUGAAACUGAUGUUCUUGAGUGGGCGAGAAGGAUGCGGAAUGCGUGGUGUAGCGGUGAAAUGCAUAGAUA
rnacentral:rRNA from 1 species